UGGCCCAACACCACCUAAUCCAAGGAUUUGAUUGGGCGACCUAGCCACCAAACACACUUUGCAAUUUUGACAGCUGUAGUUGCGGGCCAAUUCAAUAGCACUUGACCGGAGUUCCGCCGAAGUUUACUCUCUAAACCAGUGAAGAAUGGGCGUAGAAAUGGAACUCGUGGAUCUCCGACGAUUUGAUGGCUGAAUCCCCUCUUUAUGUAUCUAGAGCUCCAAGGCUAUUCAUUAAAGAGAUGAACAUGAGAAAAACCGAGUCUCAUGGCGGCGAAACAGCGUGUUGGCCCAUUUCAUAAGAGCUUUUCUGCGGUUGUGGUCCUAAUGGUAGUGGAAAGAGUAACAUAAAUUGAUGCAAUGUUGUUUGGGAAGCGAGCCAAACAGGGGGAGGUUGAGCAAAUAUCGUUGAUGAAGCCAAAAGCGCAAUCAGCCCAUGAUGAAGGCUUUCUGGAGUAUCUAGAAGAUAUUAUUGGAACCAACAAAUAUGUUGAGAAGAUUGCAGAAUCAUUGAAGCAAGCUGCAGGUGGAUGCUGAUUACAACUUACAAGAUAUGAAGAAGACCUAUGAAGACUUGGAGCUCAAAGGCAAAGGAUAUAAUAAAAAGCUUGAUGAUUUGUUUAUUGCUCUUUCAAAGCAUACUGAGCAGAAUCAAAAGGACUCGGUGGAUCCAGAAAAGCUUUAAACAACUUUUAGGAAUGACACUCUUGGCGAGACUUAUGACCAUAAUAAAGCUUUGGAGAUCAUUGCAAUUCUAGAAGUUCAACUAAAAGAGAUAAAUCCAAAUCUUGACUCGAUCUCUGAAACAAAUUAUCUGUGUGCAAUGAGAAAGUCCAAGAACUUGAUUUUGUUACCUAAGAGCAUGAUGAUAUAAAAAGCAAUAUGGCAAGUGGAGAAAGAGAAGGC